rnacentral:rRNA from 1 species
UAGGGAAUCUUCCACAAUGGACGAAAGUCUGAUGGAGCAACGCCGCGUGAGUGAUGAAGGGUUUCGGCUCGUAAAACUCUGUUGUUGGAGAAGAACGGGUGUCAGAGUAACUGUUGACAUCGUGACGGUAUCCAACCAGAAAGCCACGGCUAACUACGUGCCAGCAGCCGCGGUAAUACGUAGGUGGCAAGCGUUGUCCGGAUUUAUUGGGCGUAAAGCGAGCGCAGGCGGUUUUUUAGGUCUGAUGUGAAAGCCUUCGGCUUAACCGGAGAAGUGCAUCGGAAACCGGGAGACUUGAGUGCAGAAGAGGACAGUGGAACUCCAUGUGUAGCGGUGAAAUGCGUAGAUAUAUGGAAGAACACCAGUGGCGAAGGCGGCUGUCUGGUCUGCAACUGACGCUGAGGCUCGAAAGCAUGGGUAGCGAACAGGAUUAGAUACCCUGGUAGUCCAUGCCGUAAACGAUGAGUGCUAAGUGUUGGAGGGUUUCCGCCCUUCAGUGCUGCAGCUAACGCAUUAAGCACUCCGCCU